rnacentral:miRNA from 1 species
UGUUGUACAGAUGUUACAUUUUGUGUAUAUGAUAAAAUAGUCCCAUCAUGUGCAACAGU